CUAACGUGACAGAUUUAAUGUGUUAAAUUUAAGAUUUAAAUAUGAAAUUAAUUUUCCUUUAGAAA
rnacentral:tRNA from 1 species